GACGGAGACCCCUAGCGUUGUUCGGAAUUACUGGGCUUAAAGAGCGUGUAGGCGGGACGGUAAGUAUCUUGUGAAAGCCCCGGGCUUAACCCGGGAACUGCUUGGUAUACUGCCGUUCUUGAGGCAGGUAGGGGUUACUGGAACCUUAGGUGGAGCGGUGAAAUGCGUAGAUAUCUAAGGGAACGCCUGUGGCGAAAGCGGGUAACUGGACCUGAUCUGACGCUGAGACGCGAAAGCGUAGGGAGCGAACGGGAUUAGAUACCCCCGUA
rnacentral:rRNA from 1 species